rnacentral:rRNA from 1 species
GACGAACGCUGGCGGCGUGCUUAACACAUGCAAGUUGAACGGAAAGGCCCCCAUCUUGGUGGGGGUGCUCGAGUGGCGAACGGGUGAGUAACACGUGGGUGAUCUGCCCUGUACUUCGGGAUAAGCUUGGGAAACUGGGUCUAAUACCGGAUAGGACCAUGGUUUAGUGUCUCAUGGUGGAAAGAUUAUUGUUUUGGUGCAGGAUGAGCUCGCGGCCUAUCAGCUUGUUGGUGGGGUAAUGGCCUACCAAGGCGUCGACGGGUAGCCGGCCUGAGAGGGUGGACGGCCACAUUGGGACUGAGAUACGGCCCAGACUCCUACGGGAGGCAGCAGUGGGGAAUAUUGCACAAUGGGCGCAAGCCUGAUGCAGCGACGCCGCGUGGGGGAUGACGGCCUUCGGGUUGUAAACUCCUUUCGUUAGGGACGAAGCCGCACUUUUUUUGGGUGUGGUGACGGUACCUUUGUUAAGAAGCACCGGCUAACUACGUG